UACGAGGGGGGCGAGCGUUGUUCGGAAUUAUUGGGCGUAAAGGGUGCGUAGGCGGCCUGACAAGUCUGAUGUGAAAUCCCUGGGCUCAACCCAGGGCCUGCAUCGGAAACUGUCGGGCUUGAGUAUGGGAGAGGUGAGUGGAAUUUCCGGUGUAGCGGUGAAAUGCGUAGAUAUCGGAAGGAACACCUGUGGCGAAAGCGGCUCACUGGACCAUAACUGACGCUGAUGCACGAAAGCUAGGGGAGCAAACAGG
rnacentral:rRNA from 1 species